rnacentral:tRNA from 1 species
GGGGAAUUAGCUCAGAUGGCAGAGCGCUCGCUUAGCAUGUGAGAGGCAGGGGGAUCGAUACCCCCAUUCUCCA